rnacentral:sRNA from 1 species
AGGAGGAAUCUCGCAUAGCGAGCUGCCGC